AACGAACGCUGGCGGCAUGCCUAACACAUGCAAGUCGAACGAGAUCUUCGGGUCUAGUGGCGCACGGGUGCGUAACGCGUGGGAAUCUGCCCUUUGGUUCGGAAUAACAGUUGGAAACGACUGCUAAUACCGGAUGAUGACGAAAGUCCAAAGAUUUAUCGCCAGAGGAUGAGCCCGCGUAGGAUUAGCUAGUUGGUGUGGUAAAGGCGCACCAAGGCGACGAUCCUUAGCUGGGCUGAGAGGAUGAUCAGCCACACUGGGACUGAGACACGGGGCAGACUCCUACGGUAGACAGCAGUGGGGAAUAUUGGACAAUGGGCGAAAGCCUGAUCCAGCAAUGCCGCGUGAGUGAUGAAGGCCUUAGGGUUGUAAAGCUCUUUUACCCGGGAUGAUAAUGACAGUACCGGGAGAAUAAGCUCCGGCUAACUCCGUGCCAGCCGCCGCGGUAA
rnacentral:rRNA from 1 species